AUACGAAGGGGGCUAGCGUUGUUCGGAAUUACUGGGCGUAAAGCGCACGCAGGCGGUUCGAUCAGUCAGAAGUGAAAGCCCCGGGCUUAACCUGGGAACUGCUUUUGAUACUGUCGAGCUUGAAUCACGGAGAGGGUAGUGGAAUUCCGAGUGUAGAGGUGAAAUUCGUAGAUAUUCGGAAGAACACCAGUGGCGAAGGCGACUACCUGGCCGUCGAUUGACGCUCAUGUGCGAAAGCGUGGGGAGCAAACAGGAUUAGAUACCCUGGUAGUCCACGCCGUAAACGAUGAGUGCUAGUUGUUGGGGUGCAUGCACCUCAGUGACGCAGCUAACGCGUUAAGCACUCCGCCUGGGGAGUACGGCCGCAAGGUUAA
rnacentral:rRNA from 1 species